rnacentral:rRNA from 1 species
GAUGAACGCUGGCUACAGGCUUAACACAUGCAAGUCGAGGGGAAACGACGGGGAAGCUUGCUUCCCCGGGCGUCGACCGGCGCACGGGUGAGUAACGCGUAUCCAACCUGCCUCUGACUGAGGGAUAACCCGACGAAAGUCGGCCUACUACCUAAUGGUAUCGUCUGCAGGCAUCCAACGACGAUUAAAGAUUUCAUCGGUAAGGGAUGGGGAUGCGUCGGAUUAGCUUGUUGGCGGGGUAACGGCCCACCAAGGCUACGAUCAGUAGGGGUCCUGAGAGGAAGGUCCCCGACAUUGGAACAGGGACACGGUCCAAACGCCUACGGGAGGCAGCGGUGAUGAAGAUUGGUCAAUGGGCGAGAGCCUGAACCAGCCAAGUAGCGUGCAGGAAGACGGCCCUAUGGGUUGUAAACUGCUUUUAUGCGGGGAUAAAGUGAGGGACGUGUCCCUCAUUGCAGGUACCGCAUGAAUAAGGACCGGCUAAUUCCGUG